GUGGGGAAUAUUGGGCAAUGGGGGAAACCCUGACCCAGCAACGCCGCGUGAAGGAAGAAGGCCUUCGGGUUGUAAACUUCUUUUACCAGGGAAGAAGAACGUGACGGUACCUGGAGAAAAAGCUACGGCUAACUACGUGCCAGCAGCCGCGGUAAUACGUAGGUGGCAAGCGUUGUCCGGAUUUACUGGGUGUAAAGGGCGUGUAGGCGGGACUGCAAGUCAGAUGUGAAAUGCCGGGGCUUAACCCCGGAGCUGCAUUUGAAACUGUAGUUCUUGAGUGAUGGAGAGGCAGGCGGAAUUCCUAGUGUAGCGGUGAAAUGCGUAGAUAUUAGGAGGAACACCAGUGGCGAAGGCGGCCUGCUGGACACUAACUGACGCUGAGGCGCGAAAGCGUGGGGAGCAAACAGGAUUAGAUACCCGUGUAGUCC
rnacentral:rRNA from 1 species